rnacentral:rRNA from 1 species
GACGAACGCUGGCGGCGUGCUUAACACAUGCAAGUCGAACGGAAAGGCCCUGCUUUUGUGGGGUGCUCGAGUGGCGAACGGGUGAGUAACACGUGAGUAACCUGCCCUUGACUUUGGGAUAACUUCAGGAAACUGGGGCUAAUACCGGAUAGGAGCUCCUGCUGCAUGGUGGGGGUGGGAAAGUUUCGGCGGUUGGGGAUGGACUCGCGGCUUAUCAGCUUGUUGGUGGGGUAGUGGCUUACCAAGGCUUUGACGGGUAGCCGGCCUGAGAGGGUGACCGGCCACAUUGGGACUGAGAUACGGACCAGACUCCUACAGGAGGCAGCAGUGGGGAAUAUUGCACAAUGGGCGGAAGCCUGAUGCAGCAACGCCGCGUGCGGGAUGACGGCCUUCGGGUUGUAAACCGCUUUCGCCUGUGACGAAGCGUGAGUGACGGUAAUGGGUAAAGAAGCACCGGCUAACUACGUG